AGCCGUGGCACUGUCAAGUCAUCAGACGCGGUGAUUGCGAGGCCUGUGGGAAAGUACAAAAGCCUGGGCUAGAUUACCCCUCUCAUCGAGCCCGCCUGUGUGGCACCUGUUUCUUAUCACCCCACUAAGUUCCCGCCUCACAGGGUAGUCUGCCUAGCUAUUAAUCCUAUAUAUAGCCAGUGCCUCCACCCCCGAGAGAGAGAGAGGCACAAAGGGAGCCGCGGGGAGCGGACCGGUAGAGGCUUCGAGAGAGACUGAAGCACAAAAGGAGCCGCGGGGAGCGGACCGGUAGAGGCUUCGGGGCAGACUGAAGCACGGAAGGAGCCGCGGGGAGCGGACCGGUAGAGGCUUCGGGGCAGACUGUAUAAGGAGAGAAUAAAGAAAAGCCUGACCACCGCCAGACCUUGUCGUGUGUCUUUCCUGCCGGCCGGGAGCGGACAUCGACGUUUGGAGGCCCGCCCGGGGAUUGAUCAACCCCGAGACGCGGUGGUGGACUGCAUUCUCCUACACAGUGCUGCAGCUGCAGGACAGGAAUCGGGACGAGAGCCAAUGUGGGUCCCAGAGAGGUUGACGCGACAAGUCCCUCGACUGAAGAUCAGGCCUGUUCCACCAGAGGCCAACCGCAGACCCAACAACAA